GACGAACGCUGGCGGCGUGCCUAACACAUGCAAGUCGAACGGACGAAGCCCUUCGGGGCCUAGUUAGUGGCGAACGGGUGAGUAACGCGUGAGGAACCUGCCUUUCAGAGGGGGACAACAGCUGGAAACGGCUGCUAAUACCGCGUAACGCAACGAGACCGCAUGAUCUUGUUGCCAAAGAUUUAUCGCUGAAAGAUGGCCUCGCGUCUGAUUAGCUAGUUGGUGGGUAACGGCCUACCAAGGCGACGAUCAGUAGCCGGACUGAGAGGUUGAUCGGCCACAUUGGGACUGAGAUACGGCCCAGACUCCUACGGGAGGCAGCAGUGGGGAAUAUUGGGCAAUGGGGGAAACCCUGACCCAGCAACGCCGCGUGAAGGAAGAAGG
rnacentral:rRNA from 1 species